GGGCCCACUUCAGCAUCACAUAUAUUAAAGUUGAAACAAUACAAAUAAUAUUAGCAUGAUCCCUGGCAAAAAUGAUAUACAAAGCUGUGGUGUCCCCUAUUUUU
ensembl:snRNA U6 U6 spliceosomal RNA